rnacentral:rRNA from 1 species
UACGUAGGGGGCAAGCGUUGUCCGGAAUCAUUGGGCGUAAAGAGCGUGUAGGCGGUCCGUUAAGUCGGCUGUGAAAGUCCAAGGCUCAACCUUGGGAUGCCGGUCGAUACUGCCGGACUAGAGUUCGGAAGAGGCGAGUGGAAUUCCCGGUGUAGCGGUGAAAUGCGCAGAUAUCGGGAGGAACACCAAUUGCGAAGGCAGCUCGCUGGGACGUUACUGACGCUGAGACGCGAAAGCGUGGGGAGCAAACAGG